GUGGGGAAUUUUGCGCAAUGGGCGAAAGCCUGACGCAGCAACGCCGCGUGGGUGACGAAGUCCCUUGGGACGUAAAACCCUGUCGGAUGGGACGAAAAAUCCCGCAAGGGAUAUUGACUGUACCAUCAAAGGAAGCCCCGGCUAACUCCGUGCCAGCAGCCGCGGUAAUACGGGGGGGGCAAGCGUUGUUCGGAAUUACUGGGCGUAAAGGGCGUGUAGGCUGCCCGGCAAGUCAGUUGUGAAAUCCCCAGGCUCAACUUGGGAAUUGCAACUGAAACUGCCAGGCUAGAGUUCUGGAGAGGAAAGCGGAACUCCCAGUGUAGCGGUGAAAUGCGUAGAUAUUGGGAGGAACACCGGUGGCGAAGGCGGCUUUCUGGACAGAAACUGACGCUGAGGCGCGAAAGCCAGGGGAGCAAACGGGAUUAGAUACCCUUGUAGUCC
rnacentral:rRNA from 1 species